rnacentral:rRNA from 1 species
UACGUAGGGGGCAAGCGUUGUCCGGAUUUAUUGGGCGUAAAGAGCGUGUAGGCGGCUAGAUAGGUCCGUUGUGAAAACUCGAGGCUCAACCUCGAGACGUCGAUGGAAACCAUCUGGCUAGAGUCCGGAAGAGGAGAGUGGAAUUCCUGGUGCAGCGGUGAAAUGCGCAGAUAUCAGGAAGAACACCCGUGGCGAAGGCGGCUCUCUGGUACGUGACUGACGCUGAGACGCGAAAGCGUGGGGAGCAAACAGG